CCGGCUUGAACAGUGAUGCAGUUUGGUUGAAAAUAAUCCUGUGUAAUGCAUGUACCGUACGUGAGAUUUUUGGUCCACUGAUAUGCUGCCACGUCACCAUCAAUAGUAUAUAAGAAUUUUAGUCCAACAGGAUCGUGACACCUCAUCAGUCAAUGCAACAUCAUCGGUCAAUGCCACGUCAUCGAUCCGUCAAUGUGAACAGUGUCGUUUUUCCUUCUAUAUUCCUCCUAAGGUUUUCGAUCGUCCUGAGUUCAAAAGUGAUGUCCGUUUUGCCGUCUGAUCUCUCGUUCAUUGUGAAAUGAUUAUGAUGCCCCCUAAAAUACAUAAAAUACUUAAUUAUAAUACAACACACAUAAUUAAAUGACAAAAAAUUUAAAUACAUAAAAAUAGGAAUGUUAGUGGAACUUGAAGUGUAAAAUGACAAAUUUUUUCUUUAUAAAUAUACAUUUUCUAACACUCAACAAUUACUAAUGACGAUUAGGAGAUUCUCUCCACAAAUGAUGAUUAAGAGAUUGUCUCCACAAAUUAUUCAAGAAAAAAUUACUAAUGACGAUUAACAGAUUCUCUCCACAAGUUAUUCAAGAAAUUUUUGCAGAUAAUAUCAAUUAGAUUUUGCAACAUUUUUUCAAUAUUCUUUUCAUUCCUACUGAAGUAUCAAACAAUACCAGCCACAAUGCAAACUCAUGGCAUUACUUGAGUAGUAACUUAACCAUAUGUCACAAGUUGUACAAGACUCUUCAAUCCAAAAGAGGGCUGAAUUGUAGACUAAAACCUAGGCCUAUUAUUAAAAGCCCAAAAGUGCACUAUUAACUAGAUUUGUAAAUUUCUUGAAUGCUAAAACUAAAAAGUUCAUUCAUAUGAAGUUAUAAGUUCUGGCCUCACUGUUCUACUCAUCCUCAUCUCGCUUAAUUUAGCUGAUUAAUAGAGCAGGUUCUAGAACACAGCAAAUGUUUCUAAAAAUUGAUAAAUGACAAAAUUCUACAAUGAAUUAUUGUAAUACUAAGACACAAGAUUACCCAGAAAUGUAACAGAACUUUUAACAAACACAUGGAAUGCAAAGCCUAGAUCUAACAAAUGCAAAAAACAAAAAAAAAAUCAUUAUGCAAGAGUUGGAAAAACAUCUUAUAUUGUAUUUAGAUUUAUAAUCACACAUUGAAUAAGAGAAACAAUCAAACAAAACAAUAAUAUUGCAAAAAGACUUGAAACCCACAAAAAAAUCAUACUUAGGGUUUCAAAGAGAUGAGAACCGUGAAGCUCACGUCGAAGAUAGUUGAGAUAACUGCAAAGUUCAACAUCACUCACUAGAAAUCACCGAGAAAUAGGUAAAGCUUGUUGGCGAAUUAGUGUGAGUUUCUAGGAUUCUCGGUGGCUAGGGUUUGGGUUGUCGUCGACAGGUAAGGUUUGGUUUCAAUUUAAGACUAAAUUCGAUUCUGCCGUAGCAAAGAGAGACGACAACGGUUUACCGGCAAGCCAAUAAUAGUGAGGGUUGUCAUUGUCGGUGAGGAGUGAGCUACGCUCGAGAGAGAAGCUUUAGAGUAGUGAGUGUGGUCUUAACAUGGCUUUAGAGUAGCUUUAGCCCACAUGCCCCCUUGUGGGCUUUCCGAACUUUAUCACUAGACUCCUCAUAAUUAUUUGAAAAAUAGAAAAUAUCAUAUAUUUUUAUGGAAAAUUUUCACGUAUAGAGCUUUCUUAAUCAUUU
rnacentral:lncRNA from 1 species